rnacentral:rRNA from 1 species
GACGAACGCUGGCGGCGGGCUUAACACAUGCAAGUCGAACGGAAAGGCCCUGCUUUUGUGGGGUGCUCGAGUGGCGAACGGGUGAGUAACACGUGAGUAACCUGCCCUUGACUUUGGGAUAACUUCAGGAAACUGGGGCUAAUACCGGAUAGGAGCUCCUGCUGCAUGGUGGGGGUUGGAAAGUUUCGGCGGUUGGGGAUGGACUCGCGGCUUAUCAGCUUGUUGGUGGGGUAGUGGCUUACCAAGGCUUUGACGGGUAGCCGGCCUGAGAGGGUGACCGGCCACAUGGGGACUGAGAUACGGACCAGACUCCUACGGGAGGCAGCAGUGGGGAAUAUUGCACAGUGGGCGGGAGCCUGAUGCAGCAACGCCGCGUGCGGGAUGACGGCCUUCGGGUUGUAAACCGCUUUCGCCUGUGACGAAGCGUGAGUGACGGUAAUGGGUAAAGAAGCACCGGCUAACUACGUG